UUCAUCCUGGUCGGUCUAUCGAGUCUGAGGCACUCUGCUAAACCAAGCCACCGUCCCACCGCUGUAAAAUUACGUUGCUUUAGACAUAAUUUUACAUUUAUUUCAUGAGUCAACGGACCCAGCCCACUCCCCCGUCCUUUUACAAUCUGGUUCAAGCAGUUUAGAUUCUCCACGGCGACCAGCAGGAGGUGGGUGACGGUGUGGUGUUUGAUGGAUUGACUCGGGGCCAAGUCCAUUGUGGCAAGUCUUCGAUGGUGCUCGCCGACGCAGCGGAAAACCUCCCCGUUUUAUUUUAAUGCGGCGAUGCGGUGAGCGACGGCGGGUGAGCGGCGGUCGACGAACUCGACGUUUGGAUUUUUGCCUCAUAGGCGGGGCGAUGUGCCGGCGUGCUGCUUGGAGGCUGGUGGCAUGACCACAUGGUGUGUAGCGACCGGGCAGGCGAUGCGGCUUGGCAUGCGGCAGCUCGCCUUGCGGCACUACGUUGAGUCCAAAUCUUUGUUAUUGGAACGGGAGGAGGUCAGCAGCUCUAAUCCUAAAUUGGUUGUUGCAUGCUUGUUGAUAUGAUCUGCAUCUCCAUCUCCUACCCCGGCAGUCGGUGACCUGUUUUUCGCCACCGGAUCUCUUAAAUAUUGCCUCCUCUCCAUCAAUUUACAUGAGUAUGUGCCAAUGUAAACUUAUUUGCAGGUGCAUGUGGACUCUUGAGUUUUGACCAGAUCUAACUUAUAUUCCAAAUUUCAGACUAGUGAAGCCUUCCACCGUGCAAGUAUGUUAAUGUAUUCUGGAGAAGCAGUAAUUAAGAUGUAAUCCUUGUCAUUUUACUGGGCAAGUGAAAUCAUAUUCUUUUUAUGUCCUAUUUGACAAUGUAUACGAUCAAUUGUGUUAAAAUGCCUAUAUUGCAAGAGUAAAAUAAAGUACCUAAACAUUUGUACAGUGUUCACGAAAUAAAGUAUUUUGGGA
rnacentral:lncRNA from 1 species